rnacentral:rRNA from 1 species
ACCUACGGCCAUGCCACCCUGAACAUGCCUGAUCUCACUGAUCUCAGAGGCGAAGCAGGGCCGGGCCUGGAUAGUACUUGGAUGGGAGACCACCUAGGAAGACCAGGUGCUGUGGGCU